rnacentral:misc_RNA from 1 species
UCAACCAUCACGCCCCGGCGUGGAACUGGGGAUUGCAGUUUGCUGCAGCCCUAAAUCUCAUAUGCGAUCCCAGUUGGUUCUAUGCGUAGUACAUACCCCGCUACAGAACUUUAAUUGGAGCCGUCGGCAGUAAAUGGUGCAAGCCCAUUCUAA